CCCGCACAAGCGGUGGAGCAUGUGGUUAAUUCGAAGCAACGCGAAGAACCUUACCAGGUCUUGACAUCCCGAUGCUAUUUCUAGAGAUAGAAAGUUACUUCGGUACAUCGGUGACAGGUGGUGCAUGGUUGUCGUCAGCUCGUGUCGUGAGAUGUUGGGUUAAGUCCCGCAACGAGCGCAACCCCUACGUUUAGUUGCUAACGCGUGAAGGCGAGCACUCUAGACGAACUGCCGUUGACAAAACGGAGGAAGUGGGGAUGACGUCAAAUCAUCAUGCCCCUUAUGUUCUGGGCUACACACGUGCUACAAUGGCCGGUACAGACGGACGCAAAGCCGCGAGGUGGAGCAAAUCCUAAAAAGCCGGUCUCAGUUCGGAUUGCAGGCUGCAAUUCGCCUGCAUGAAGUCGGAAUCGCUAGUAAUCGCAGGUCAGCAUACUGCGGUCGAAUACGUUCCCGGGCCUU
rnacentral:rRNA from 1 species